rnacentral:ncRNA from 1 species
GGUCAAGCUACAAAGGGCGUAUGGUGAAUGCCUUGGCAUCAGGAGCCGAUGAAGGACGUGAUAAGCUGCGAUAAGCUUUGGGUAGACGCACAUAGUCUGAGAUCCAAAGAUUUCCGAAUGAGGAAACUCACAUGGGAAACCCCAUGUAUCGUUAACUGAAUAAAUAGGUUAACGAGGGUAAACCUAGGGAACUGAAACAUCUAAGUACCUAGAGGAAGAGAAAGAAAAAUCGAUUUUCUAAGUAGCGGCGAGCGAAAGGGAAAGAGCCCAAACCGGAAACUUGUUUCCGGGGUUGUGGAUAGAACAUAACGAGAAACUAUAACUAAUUGAAGAGAGCUGGAAANUGAGAUGUUGGGUUAAGUCCCGCAACGAGCGCAACCCUUAUUGUUAGUUGGUACCAUUAAGUUGACCACUCUAGCGAGACUGCCCGGGUUAACCGGGAGGAAGGUGGGGAUGACGUCAAAUCAUCAUGCCCCUUAUGUCUAGGGCUACACACGUGCUACAAUGGCAAGUACAAAGAGAAGCAAUACUGUGAAGUGGAGCAAAACUCAAAAACUUGUCUCAGUUCGGAUUGUAGGCUGAAACUCGCCUACAUGAAGCUGGAGUUGCUAGUAAUCGCGAAUCAGAAUGUCGCGGUGAAUACGUUCCCGGGUCUUGUACACACCGCCCGUCACACCAUGAGAGUUGGCAAUACCCGAAGUCCGUAAGCUAACCGUAAGGAGGCAGCGGCCGAAGGUAGGGUCAGCGAUUGGGGUGAAGUCGUAACAAGGUAGCCGUAGGAGAACCUGCGGCUGGAUCACCUCCUUUCUAAGGAAGAACAUCUUAGGAAAACUAAGAUGAUAAUAAAGAAUGCUUCUUAAAUAUCUGUUUAAUUUUGAGAGAUUAACUCUCAAAACAUAUGGGGGUAUAGCUCAGUUGGGAGAGCACCUGCCUUGCACGCAGGGGGUCAAGGGUUCGAAUCCCUUUACCUCCACCAUAUGGGUCUAUAGCUCAGCUGGUUAGAGCGCACGCCUGAUAAGCGUGAGGUCGAUGGUUCGAGUCCAUUUAGACCCACCAUGUUCUUUGAAAAUUACACAUAAGUAUUAAUAAAUAGAGUAAAGCCAAUUAAAUUUACUAUUCUUUGUAAAAUUGAUUGCAACUAUCUAAAAGAUAG